UGCUGGUCCAUGUUGACUCUACAAGGUGUCGAAAGCGUUCCACAGGGAUGCUGGCCCAUGUUGACUCUACAAGGUGUCUAAAGCGUUCCACAGGGAUGCUGGCCCAUGUUGACUCUACAAGGUGUCUAAAGCGUUCCACAGGGAUGCUGGCCCAUGUUGACUCUACAAGGUGUUGAAAGCGUUCCACAGGGAUGCUGGCCCAUGUUGACUCUACAAGGUGUUGAAAGCGUUCCACAGGGAUGCUGGCCCCAUGUUGACUCUACAAGGUGUUGAAAGCGUUCCACAGGGAUGCUGGUCCAUGUUGACUCUACAAGGUGUCUAAAGCGUUCCACAGGGAUGCUGGUCCAUGUUGACUCUACAAGGUGUCUAAAGCGUUCCACAGGGAUGCUGGCCCCAUGUUGACUCUACAAGGUGUUGAAAGCGUUCCACAGGGAUGCUGGUCCAUGUUGACUCUACAAGGUGUCUAAAGCGUUCCACAGGGAUGCUGGUCCAUGUUGACUCUACAAGGUGUUGAAAGCGUUCCACAGGGAUGCUGGCCCAUGUUGACUCUACAAGGUGUCGAAAGCGUUCCACAGGGAUGCUGGCCCAUGUUGACUCUACAAGGUGUUGAAAGCGUUCCACAGGGAUGCUGGCCCAUGUUGACUCUACAAGGUGUUGAAAGCGUUCCACAGGGAUGCUGGCCCAUGUUGACUCUACAAGGUGUUGAAAGCGUUCCACAGGGAUGCUGGCCCAUGUUGACUCUACAAGGUGUUGAAAGCGUCCUACAGGGAUGCUGGCCCAUGGUGACUCCACAAGGUGUUGAAAGCGUUCCACAGGGAUGCUGGCCCAUGUUGACUCUACAAGGUGUCGAAAGCGUUCCACAGGGAUGCUGGCCCAU